GCUGCAAACUUUCACUGGUGCUCAAGAAGGAAACGCACUGCUCUUUACAUGUACUGGGUCUUUGGCCCUAAACCUGAAGCUGGUGAUGCUGAGCGCGGCGGUGAAGAGGAGAGGGUUCUGAUGGAGGAAGAGCGAGCCGGUCUGCUGCCGGGAUUCAUCACCACCGAACACUAUCACACAGGGUCCGGCCUUCAUUACAUCACUUCACUAUGAGUCUACACACAGUCUGUGCCAGCUGUCACCAUUCUGGCUUAAGUUUUCACUUCGUUUUUAACAUGUUUUUAACAUACCAGAUGCUCUAUUAGCUGCUGUAGAACAGUGAAGGAUAGAUAGCAGUCUUUCAGUAUGGAAAGAGGACGUGGUCAUGUGAUCGUUGUGAUGUCAUCAUUGUAACUGCUGCUUCUGUGAUGCCAUUAAAAUGAAUUCUGGCACUGUAUAUAUACAUAUAACAGAAGGCAUAAAUGAUGCAAGUGUGAUACAGAAUUAAAGUCUCUCCUCAUUAGGAACCAACAGCUUGUUGUGUCUGAUUCAUCUUCAUGAUUCUAGAUUAUUCUAAUGCCUGUCUGGGUCAAUAAGCACAGAAACAUGUGAGAUGUUCAGCUCUAAAACACCACAUGAAACGCAUGAGGCCUGUCAAGAGCCCAAAAUCAAAACAAUGAAAUAUGUCGUGCUAAACUAAAGCUUGC
ensembl:lncRNA